rnacentral:rRNA from 1 species
UACGAAGGGGGCAAGCGUUGUUCGGAAUUAUUGGGCGUAAAGGGCGCGUAGGCGGUGCGGUAAGUCUGUAGUGAAAUCUCUGGGCUCAACUCAGAGUCUGCUAUAGAAACUGCCGUGCUUGAGUGUGGGAGAGGUAUGUGGAAUUCCACGUGUAGUAGUGAAAUGCGUAGAGAUGUGGAGGAACACCGAUGGCGAAGGCAGCCCCCUGGGUUAACACUGACGCUCAGGCACGAAAGCGUGGGGAGCAAACAGG